CGAGGAAGGGCAGCCUUGGCCCCAUCGCUGCAGACUGAAGGCUGAAGGAGGAAGCCACCUCCAUUUCACUCCUUCCCAGUCUAGAGGGAUGCAGUGAUGGGGAGCAAGCUCCCCCCGAGCCUGAUCCAGACCAGCCCCCAGUCCGUGUGAAGUAACAUGUGGGUGGCAGCCAAAAGCGGGGCAAGGGGCCGGAGGAGCGGCAGGGUGGGCGGCGCAGCCUGACCGGAGCCGGCAGCAGUGAAGGGUCUGGGCUCCAUCACCCACGGCCGGCGGAGCGAGAUGCGGUAGCUGGACGGCAAGCUUGGUAAUCAGUCUUCCCGUACUGCCGCUCCUGAUGACCAGCAAACUGUCUCCAGCCUUCUGGUUGUCAAGAAAAUUGUGACAAGGCAAGUGUCAGAUCAUGCGGAGCCUUCUGAGUUUUUUGACCCCUUCAAUCUGUUUUCCAACCUGGAUAUGGCAAAGAAGCUGUAUUGGACUAAUUGAUUGUCUGUCUUCUCUAGGCUGUGGAUAAAGUCCAGGUAUGUAAUUUGACUCUUUUAGAUGAGCAGUAUCCUCUCUUUCACGGUCUUGUGUCUUUAUGUCAACCACUGUGGGGCUGCUCUGGAAAAGUUCCUUUUUUGCCAGAACUGGAGCAGAAGAUGUUGGGGUCCUACAGCAUUCUAUCUGCUGGGGUCCCUGUGCAGCUGGUUUGAGCAGUGCACAAUGGAGGCUGCAGUGUGUGUAUGACUUGCAAAAAAAAAGUCUGAUUCAUCUUCACCAAAACACAAAAUAAUGCAGCUGCCAGGCGGAAAUAAUAGCUUGAAAAUGCUGCACUUCCAUUUUUUGUUUCAACCAGUGCGCUGCGCUUUAAGGUAGAAUACUCUGUAUUUGAGAUUACCUACAUAACCAUUGAUCUUGAUUUCACUAAACUGCCCUGCUCUGUGCUCAGUAGCUGUUAUCCUGGAUAGUUGUUUUCUUGGGCUUUCUCUUAAAUUGUUUCAUACAAUCAUAGAAUUGUUUGGAUUGGAAAAGACCUUUAAGAUCAUCAAGGCCAACCGUUAACCCAGCACUGCCAAGCCCACCACUAACCCAUGUCCCUAAGCACCACAUCCACACGUCUUUCAAAUACCCCCAGGGAUGGUGACUACCACCUCCCCGGGCAGCCUGUUCCAGUGCUUUAACAACCUUUCCGGUGAAGACAUUUUUCCUGAUACCAAACCUAAACCUGUCCUGGUGCAACUUGAGGCUAUUUUCUUUGUCCUGUCGCUUGUUACCUGGAGAAAGAGACUGAUCCUCACCUCGCUACAACCUCCUUUCAGGGAGCUGUGCAGAGCAAUAAGGUCUCCCCUUGAGCCUCCUUUUCUGCAGGCUGAACACCCCCAAUUCCCGCAGCAGCUCCUCAUAGGUCUUGUUCUCCAGACCAGCUCCAUUGCCCGUCUCUGGACAUGCUCCAGCACCUCAGGGUCUGUCUUUCUUGAAGUGAGCGGCCCAGAGCUGAACGCAGGACUUGAGGUGUGGCCUCACUGCCCUGCUCCUGCUGGCCACGCUGUCUCAGCUACAAGCCAGGAUGCUGAUGGCCACCUUGGCCACCUGGGCACACGGCUGGCUCACAUUCAGCCAGCUGUCAACCAGCCCCCCCAGGCCCUUUCCCACCGCACAGCUUUCCACUUACUCUUCCUCAAGACUGCAACAUUGCGUGGGGCUGGUGUGACCCACGGGCAGGACCCGGCACUGAGCCUGGUUGAACCUCUUGUUGAACUGAGCCUUGUCCAUGGGUCCAGCCUGCCCAGGUCUCUCUGCAGAGCCUCCUGCCCUCCAGGUCAACACUCCCACCCAACCUGGUGUUGUCUGCAAACUGAGUGAGGGUGCACUCAGUCUAGCCGUUGGCGGUAAAACAAUAUGAGAAUUAUGGAUUUAGAUAUGCUUGUUAAGCUGUAGAGACCAUUUUCUCUGGAAAACUGGAAGAAUUCUGUUUAGAAAUUAUAGGAGAAAACUAUGAAAAUUCAGAUUCCACUCCUCUUCCCAGUGUCACGUAGCUUUUUUUUUUUCUUUGGAAAGCAAAAGCAGGUUAAUAACAUUGGUUUCAGAAGGUAAUUUUAUUAUUUUUUAAUGGUUCUUGCCAUUUGCCUAAAGGUUUGGAGGUAUAGCAGAACGCUGGGCAAGAGCCCCCAAACCUCUUGGAGAGCACCAACAGUUUUUUCACAUGAUUGCUCGUUUAUGGGGGAUCGGUAAGUAGCCUGUUAAGCACACUGGUUGGAGUACAUUGCGUUUCCUACAUCUGUCAAUUGCAAUAUUUGAUUGUCAGCAGUCAAUCAGACUUGAAUUUGGUGAUCUGGGGAGGAAUUAAAAUACACGCCUUACAUGCUGAUCGCUGGCAGUGUUGGGUAAAACUGGCUGGACAUCUCGGAGCCAAAUUGUCCCCAGACUUCAGAAAUUGGUGUGGUGGUGUGCAUUGCUGCCUGCCUUUUACCAUUUAAUGCCAACAAAUGUGGCCCUUUGUGUGUGGAUGAGUGCUAUCUAAAAGUAAUAGGCAAUGACCUUCCUAUCUGUGCAUUCACCAGUAGGCUCCGUCUCAGUGAUGGGCACCCUCAUGGACCCUGUGCAAGUUCCUUACCCAUCACUGGAGGUCCAAAGGCACCAGCAGCAUGGCAGGACAGCACUGGAGGUGGAGGUUUGCGUCAUGAUACCACCUUCUGAUGACAAUGAGCAAAACAUGACAUAAGACACUGCUCCACCUGACCAGGUGGUAGUAGUUCCUGGCCAUGGUAACAUGAUGCAAGGGCAAACCCACAAGCUGCAGCUGGAGGGCUGUCUUGCAGGUGAUAAGGUGGUAGAUACCCACGUCUCCUGCCAAGUCAUUUAUGGAGAUGCUGCACGGUGAGUCAUUUGACACAGGUACCAUGAUGUGACAGACAUCCAGAAGAGGAAGGGGGUAACCUCAGGGACACGCAGCAGAGCCUGGUCCCACCUGGCACAGCAGCUGGAAUCACUCUGUAGCUGCAGUCGCUUUUUCACAGAUACCAAACUCAUGGUCUCUCUCUGGAUGCAUUUGCAGCAACUUACAUGUAAAUAAUAAAAGCCCUGUGCAUUCAUCUCUUGGUAAGGAUCAUAUGUAUGCUUAUGUUAACGCAGAUGGUAAUUGCACACAGCCGUCUGGCUACUGGUGUCACCCUCCCUGUUGAAGGGCUGAUGCAUCGCAGCUUUGAAUGGGGGGCUAUUGAGAGAGAGCCCCUCUGUGCACAGGGGAGGGGGAAAGGGUCUGCAGUAACAAACUGGAAAAGCUCCUAUUUUACCUGAUAAUACUAUAAAACUCAUCUAACUCUCUCGUACAAACACAGCACAACUUUUCUGAGCGUACAGUCCAAAUUAUUCCUACACUGCAUUUUUGUUUAAGCAUUAAAAUUCAAGGUCUAAAUACGUAGUUUGAAAUUGGAGAGGAGUACAUGCACAUUGCAAAUGUAGAUAUAUCUUGCUGAGUACACAGCCCAUAAAAUAUGUAGUAUAAGAUCACUCAUUUAUUUAAAGAUGCUUUUUACUUCAGAUGGAAAAUGACACAAAUCUAAAUAUUACAAUGCAAAGUAAUGUGUAACUGUCUGUAUGUUAUAGCCUUAACACUAUACUUUUGAUGCAGAAGAGAUAUAGCAGCUGCACUUUAAUUUCAAGCAAAUUGAUCCCAGAUGUAAAUGUUGUUUUGUUCCAUGGAAGAUAGUGCACAGGUAAAGCAAAUAUCAUUGGUUUAUAGUCCAACAGAGUGUUGCAACAGGAUCCAGCCUCUUCUGCCUGGGCACACAUAAAAGCCUGGUGGCUGCGACAGAGUAGGAUGUCUGAAAAGUAUACCGUAAAAAGAGAUAGCUUUGCUUUUUACCCUUUAAGAAUACAACCACCUGUGAUCUAAGUAGCUGUUUUGAAGCCAGGAAAGCUUCUUGACUUGUCAAUUGUCCUGGAGGCAAGAUCUAAAUUUGGCUUGUUUUCCAUUUCUUUUCACUUCACAUUUUGUAGAAGCAUUUUUCUCUCACCCUAUUUAUGUUUGGCAUAAAAGGGAAAAAAAAAACAAACAAACAAACAACCAAAAAUCCCCCUACAUUUACUGAUUCAGUGAGCCACUACUUUCAAAGUAAAAAUAAUAGUAGGAAUUGUGCUUCACUGCCCGGAGAUACCCCCAACGUCAGUGGGACCAUGGGCAACGUAUAAACAGCAUAAUAGUUUCUUUACCAUCCCCUGCAUAUAGAGGACAGCAAAGUCCAAAUAUCCCGCUGUCACAUCUCUUCUUUUGAACAAUAAGAUUUUUUAUUUUUUGUCAAGUAGGGAACCUGCUUGUCCACAGAGGAGAAACCCACAACAGACAACUUACCCCAGUGCUGCUUCCCAGUACCAGAACUCAACCAAGCACAGCUGCUGGAGCCCAGUAAACUCAUCCAGAAGCAAGAGAAGAUCUCUCAGGUCAAUUAUUUCUUCAGUUUUUAAAAGUGUAGAUGUAGGACUACUUUACCUGUGUGGGAUCUGGCUGUGCAAUCCUUUCCUGUGCAGGCUGGCUGGCGGGUGCACGUAAUGCAUUAGCACAUGGGCACUGCUGGCUCAGAAAGGGGCCACUCGCAGCCCACCCUGGGUGAUGAUUGUUCUGCAGGCUGGCUCAAAAAGAGGUGGCAGCGAUGCCCUUCACCUCUCAUGACAACUCUCCACUUCUAUAUAGCUCCCCUUUGCCUUUCCAUCCUUCUGCAAGACGGAUUACUUGUAGCUGGUGUUUCCUGCUUUUGUUUUCUAUUGCUUUUAGGUCAGGUUUGCACAUGCGUUUAUUCUGGUUUCACAAAGGCUGUGAUUUAGUUAAUUGGGGGGAUAAUGUGUUUGGAUGCUUCUAAAUCAGUAUCAUUUGAAUUGAUGUUUAAAGUUAAACAUUUGAGAGCUCCUCUAUUUGAUAGCUACACUGAUUUAACUCUUAUUUCCUUCUGAAUCAGUGUAGGCAAAUCAAUGCACAAGUUGUGCACUGGAUGCAUUUCCUUUCAAAUACCAAAAUAUCUGAAUAAAGGUAUAUAUACCAUAUGUAAAGGUGUUACUGAAGGGCAGGUACUAGACAAAACUGUGGCACUUCUGCACAGCAAGUAUUUUUUUCUUCAUACAGUGCAGGGAAUCGACUGAAUCUGUCACAGAUGUGUAUAAGAUGUGUACAACCUUAUGUAGCAACUUCUGCGAGUAUUUAGCAGUAAGACAUAUUGACCACAUUCUGAAGUCCUUACUCAGACGAAACCUGCCCAGAGGUCAAUGUGAAUCUCGAUUAAUCGAUUUACUCAGAAACAGCUCACAGUUUCUGUACGGUUUUGAAGCACAAACCUUUGAACAGAAUACAAAAUCAGAAUUAACAUCACACCAGGACAUGGGAAGCCACAGUGAAUGUUCGUCCACACGAGCUGUUCUUCGCUGGGGUCAUGAAAAGUGUGACAGAGAAGGGAAUGUUAAUUUUUUGGCAGCAUUGGGUUGUGGGAGGAGGCUGGGGUGGGAGCAGGGACAAGGAUGCAUUUGCCGAGAGGAUGUAGCAGCAUGCACUCAGCCCCGGCUGCUUGACAGAGCUGCUGUAUAAUAGCAGGGCACUCACCUCAAAUCAUAGGUUGUGAAAACUGACAUUUCCAUUCAAAUUACUCCAAUAGCCAACUGUUCCCCGGUGCAACUUCUUCUGUAAGUGACACAGUGACAGUGAUCCAGGAAUUUAACUUGCUGUUGUCUCGUUCCAAGUGGAAUUAUGAAGUUUGUGACAUGCAUUAGGAGGAUGGCUCCUGGUCGCAGCCGGUGCUUUGCGUGUCUGUGCGAUUAAUCACAGGUCGAGCACAGAGCCCAGGAAGUUUUGUCAGCUCAGGAUAGCUGUCCCUGCUGUGAACCUCCUCUUACUGAGUCCUUUUCUCUUCGUUUCCCAUUGUCUGAGAGAAAAGCUACUGCUCCACUGAAGUUUUCCUGGCACCUCCUGGUUCCUUGAGAUUUGUUUUAAGCUUCUGUCUUUAAUUAUGAUGGGCAGAUCAUCUGUUCUUGACACAUGAGUGCCUGAUGGUCACAUCGCUGUGCACCCUCCUCUCCUCAGAGAUGCCUCUUGGAUUUAUUUUUUUUUCCCCACAACUUGACUGUGCAAGUUACCUUUUAAAUUUCUGUCUAGCCUUUUAAGCAGGAAGCCUUCUCUGUUCAUAAAACAAACCAGCAGAUUUUGUAAUUUGAGGUGUUUGCCAUAUACAGGCUGAAAUUGCAUGUAAUUUUUGCACAGCUUUACUUUUGUAUUACAUGGUCAACCAUAAAACCCCUUUGGUUUGUUGCACUCUGCAACAAAUGUCACCAAACUGGCUUUGGCUUCUGCAUUUGGCGGAGGAGCCAAAGCGUUUGAUGGUGGAUUACCUGCCUGUACCUUCCAUGCUCCUGGACAAAUCUCCGUCGGUCAGCUGCAACUGAUGACCAAAGCAACAAGUCUCAAGGUAGGUCCUUCGUAUGCCAUGGUGGCAUCUUUCAGAAGAGGGUCCCAGGACCCAUCCAGUGGUCAGGUUGGCACAGCACCAUGGAACUGGGAGAGACUGGGAUGUGGUUGGGGUCAGGCUAUGGGCCCUCUUGUUCUACCCCAUGUCUUCUGCAGAGAAGCUGGGCAAGGACAUGGAUCCUUCAUGCCUGGUGAACUAAAACUAGCAAUGGCCCAGAGCCCCAGUGAUGGAUCUGAACGUCAGCAAGCUCGAAAUCUAUCUGCAUCUGGAUCUCAGCCUGGCUUACGGUCAUCUUCACUCAAACCCCAUUUUUUUUAACUUGAUAACCAGGAAAUUCAUCAAUCAGUUACUAAGGAAAAUAUAAUUAUAAAGUCAUGUUUACCUACACUUCUUGGAGAACAGGGCCUCACUAUUGCUAUCGCAGUCAGAAGAAUAACUAAUGUCAGGGUUUUAUAGUGAAUUCAUUACCUCCUUGGACAGGGAGCAACUCUCACUAUAUUUUGCAGAAAAACUUUCAGAAGAAGAAAAAAUACAGUGUGUGCUGUUUGGGAGUCAUAGUCUUCACCGCAUGACAACGGAAGUCAAUAGACCAAAUACAUGGACUGUUUUUUGAUUCGGCACCAUGCACCAUCCAUGAAUGAAGAUAUUCUGUUAAAUUAAAAUUAGUCCAUCAUUUCCAAAUAAAAUUUUCAUAGAAUAUUGCAUCUCAGAUGCUCUGCAAAAUGAUGUAUAACCAACAUGCUCAGGGGUCAGUUGUUAGGGUAUACUGGUAUCCUGGAAUAUCAGACUACUCCAAGCUUAUGCUUUGAUCUUGCUUUCAAGUUCCUGGAAGUUAAUUCUGGUCCCUGUUGGUCCCUGAGUGUGGAUAAAGUCUAUGCUAGGUAUUCACCACCACCAUUUUUUCUGUAAGACUAAUUUCACAUCUCCCUCCACAUCCCCUACCAUCCCAACAUUUCCUUUAUCUGAUUCACCUCCUGCAUGUGGUUCCCUUUGGGUUUAAGCUAAGUGUUUGAAAGCAAUGGGAAGUGUCCACAGGGGACUGUGACCUCUGGGGUUUAGAUCAGGUGCUUUGCUACUCAGUUUUCAUUUCUGCUUUUGGACCUGCAACAACAGCCCAAUCAUCUACAAAGCUUAAAAGCUCAUGAAAGCUUCUUCAGUCUUCAGAGGUGUCAUGUCAUUACACUGCGCUGUAAGUUCUGGUAUCAGUUGGCUGUGGUUGAAGCCUUCAAUAAAUUCCUUUUGAAUAUGACUUUAUGGUUUUCCACCUGCAAAGAAAUACAGCCUCAUUUACAGACCGCUGUUGUGUUUAUGUUCAUUUUGGAAGACACAUCCAUCUACUGAGAAAAGGUCUGACCAAGACUGUGGAAAUUGCCACUAAAGCAAAGGUGGGGAUUGGAUAUGUCCCAAACCAAAACUUGCUAAAAUUUUGCUGUUCUAUCCUUAAGAAAGGAAACUGCAGAGCUGCCUUCCUGGGGCACUGCUUCGUAGUAAGUCAGGGUACUUCUGAAACAAAAACAUGUGUAAUCUUUAUUUAUUCUAUACCAUUAUCUGGAAUCCCCAAAUAGUUUCUAUAUGUUUGUUUGAAAGCGGUUCCAUGACACCAUGGAUGCUGAGCUGUAUCUGGGACUUGAUAGCUGGCUUAGUGCUGUUGAGCUGACUCAGAUGACACUAAAUAUUUCUUCACACCUACGGAAGGGUCAUGUCAGUACAGGCAACCCUAAGAACAGAAAACAACAUGAGAAAAUGAUCUGAUUGCUUAAUUCCCUGCAGUGGGCCUGCUUUGAAUAUCACGACAAAGGCCACAAGCACUUCAGAUUCUUGAUGUGAGAGGCCUCUGGAAAUUGUUGAGAUUUCGUAUUCCUGCGAGAGGAGAUGUGCCAUACUCAGGAACAGGAAAGCCCCCAUCUCGUGCAAUGCCCACCAGUCCCAGUGCUGCUGGAGCUGCAACAUGCUGGGUGAUCAGUGCACCUUGCACAAGCAUUUGUAGGCUUUGCACAACACUGCAGGGAGAUCCUGGGUGUCUCAAGGCACUUUUACACAGAGAAGAAAUGCUCAAAACCAUAAAAACCUCCCCCAAAAAUACUAAUGAAUUAUGUGCUCAAGGCUGUCAAAGAGUGAAAAAUUACUUGAGCACAGCAAUUUAAAAAGUUGGGGGUGAGGCUGUGUUUGCAAUUACUAUUAUAGAGACCAUAUAGGCUUUUGAUGAGAAAUAAGUAAAACCCAACCUGUUUAGUGAAUAUUAAGCUGCCUUGUGAAGUUUCAGAAAACACCACUUUGCCUGUUGUGAGAAGUAACAGCUUUAAAUCUCCCAUGGUCUGGCCAAGGAGAGAAGCGUGUGUACUGGGUUUGGGUUGAAGGAGAUAUGCUGUAAAAAUAGUGGCUUUCAUUAAGAUGAAUCACAGUAAAAGUAACAAAAAAGUGCUUUGAUACAACGGUGAAUAGAGGAUUAACUGCACAAUGCUGCUGUUUUUUUAAUUCUGCAUGUCUCCUUUUUUUUGUGUGUUUGUUCGUGAUGCCAGCAAUAAAAAUAAUGUUUGGCUGCUAAGUGCGUAAGUGUGCUAAAGAAGGGCUUUAUAGUGCCCAGAAUCUGUUUGUCAGCAGGUGACUGCUGUGGGGAGGGAGGAAGAGGAAAGCUUGUCUUAUUUUAUUUUCAAGGGUAGAAAUUUAACAUUGGGAACCCAAUUCAUAUUUUAUUUCUUAUCAAAACUUAUCUCCGUAACUAUGAGCAUGUAUAUGCACCAAAUAAAUAAAAAAAAAAUUAAAAAAAAAAAAGUACAGCCCAUCCAGCUUUGAGGGCGGGUUAUUUAUAGAAGAUCUCUGCCUUUUGUCAGAUUGGUGGUUAACGAUGUUCUUCCAGAAUAAACCCUAUUCUGUGCAGCAGAAGAGGAAGAGUCCUGCGGAGAGUGUGCAUGUAAGCUAAUGUCCCCGAGACAGAAAGGGCUGUGGCAGAAAACGCUGCUGAGCAAAAUCCACAACAAUCUAAUCAUCAUCUCUGGUAGUCAGUGAGAGCUGUGGGAGAAGACGUUGUAUAAAGCAGAUACAUCCAGGAAAUAAUGCUUGUCCAGUGCAGCCAGAUGGAGUGGGUAUAUCCUGACCAAGCAUUUAUUUUAAUAAAUGUUCAAUUAAAAUUAUUUCUGUAGUGCAAGCAUGGUCCAGAAGUAGUAUAGGAAUUAAUAAGAUUGCUGAUAGAAAUAAACAUUAAGAUAAUUGUGCACAAGUUAAGAAUGACGGUUAUAAAAAAAAAUUCUUAACAUUUCUAUAGGAUUAUUUUAUGCAUGUACAAACCAGAAAAUGUUAGUUCAAGCUAUGCUUUAAAAUCAUGUUUUUAAAACUCUAGCUCUUUUUUGCACAAAAAAUCACCCAUAACAGUGCCAGCUCUUCCUGUGCCCAUGCAACACGUCUGUAAUCUGUGAGUUUAUAUAAACACAGUAAUUGAGGAAAAACUCUGCUAGAAACUUUUAUCUGUAUUAUGUCUGUAAUAUGACAUACAUGCUGUCUAACCCGAAGUUUAUGGUAGCAGAGGUGACGGAUGAACAGAGGAAGAUUUUUCUGGUUUUAUACCUUGAUAUAACCCCAUUUAUGUGUGAAUUUGUGGGUACAUGAAUCCCUUAUUAAGUGAGUAGAGCUCUUCAUACAGCUAAAAUUCUGUACGUGCUUAAGUACUGCCUGAGACAGCAUCCAAGCAGGCGCUUAGCAGCCGGCUUUUAUUUUGUUGGUUACACCUUGGUCUUAUUCCUUCUGUGAGUUUGUUUAUCAAAAUGCGAUGUAUGUCCCAGGUUAAAGUUUCUGGAGCAUACCUGUGGUGUGUUUGCAGCCUUCAUCCUCGAGUCAAAGGUGGAAGGCACCUGAAAAUAAACAGAAGUCAGACGUGCUGAUGCCAGGGAUGGGUCUGACGCUGAUUAGCAGACAGUCUGGAAAUGCCAGAAAUGAAAAGUAGCUGCAAGCAGAGGAGCUAAAGACCAGUCAUGAAGGAGAUUCCAUGUAUGAGUAGCUACACUCUGGAGCAGUCCGUGGGUGUGCCCUGUGCUCAUGGGUGAAAAGCAACAUGAUUAGAUUUAUCAGCAGCUCAUUCGGGGACAGCUCUGUGCGUGCAUCCGAGCGGCUUUUCCACCUGCAAGCAGGAUCCAGAGGGGAGCCUGUUGGGUUGGCUCUGGUUGUGAAACACUAGGACUUUCUGAAAAAGGCUCCUGCACAGCAGCUUCUUGAGGGUCUCCCAUCUGUACUGUCCAUGCAUGAUGCCCACCACAAUCCGCAGCGUAGGGGUUGGCAGAAACAAAUACAGCGCAGAAGGAGGGUGAAGCGUGUCUCUCCAUAGCAUCCUCUCUGUCCUGCCUGGGAUCUAUCUCCUUUCUCCUGCAGAAGAGACCAGUAGCUCUUGCUUGUAGAUGAAGCAUGGCAAUGGCCUUGAUUUCUCACUCAACAGAAGCAUAAAGCCAACAGGAACCAUCCCACGAAACGGGACCCAGGCAGCAGCACAGCCUUUCGGCAGCUCAGCCUCAUUUGGGAUGCAAGGUGGCAAAAGCACCAAUACAACUACCUGGUCCUCAAGUCAUGUGACCAUGGCACUGUGGACUGAAAAUAAAGCAGAACUGAAUGAGAAACACAGAUGCUUAUCAAUGGUUGAAGACCUCUGUCCUUGCAAGAAAACCAAAACCAUUUUUAUCUGACAACCUUCUCUUAUUAGACUAUUUUAUGAAGAUUUUGUCAGUCAAUCUAACUUCUAAAAAGGUCAAUAGUAAGUUUCUUCUGUUUUCCUCUCCCCUCGUACAAUAACAAAGACUGAAUUCUAUCGCUUCUGCAAGCACUUCCCACUCCUACUGUCAUGAUGUGGCUGAGAAGUGACGAGUUGUGUAACAGGAAAGUGUUGAGACAAACAAUGGUGCUGCGACGAGAAGGAGCUGCUGUGGUCUCCUUGCAGACAGCACUCAGCACAACCCCACCACGCUUCUUCCACCCCGUUCUUUUUUCUGAUGUAGAACAAACUUUGUGUCUGUGCCCUAACACCCAAUUCUCCUGGUAACCCUGUUUUACCCUUCUCUGCAGACUUUCUUCCUUUCCUGUUCCUCUCAGGUGAUUUAAUCAAUGGUUUUUGUAUCUAGUUGCUUGUCUUCAAGAUCUUCAGCAUAGGAGGACACGGGUUUUAUUGCAGAUCUUCCACUACCGAGUUCCUCGUCCUCCUCAGCAGCAGCAGGACACUGGCUGUAUGGACCUUCUGGGUUCUGUUUUUAGUUGAUACCUCACUGGCUUCCUUAAAACUGGGAAAGAAAGGUGGUAACUAGGAAUUAUUUAUUUUACAAAAUGCCUAUGAUUUCUGUUUCACUGAUUUCCAUGAAGAAAAGAAACCCCGAGCCCAUGCAAAGCUGCUCUACUUGUGUAGCGCAGGAACGAUGUGAACACGCUGUGUCCCCACGGUCUUGUUCUAACAUUUCUCUGAUGAGGUACCCAACUGCUGUUUCCAUUUUAUGCCAUGCUACAUGCUAGGUAAAUUUUGGAAACUUUUUUUCCAAAUUAAGUUAUGCUCAGUGUUUUCCUCACAUAGGGAAUUUAUUUGUUUAAAUAAGUGCCUAAAUCUAUGAAGUCACUUUGCUUUGGGCCCCUACUGCUCCUGUGCCCACCCUUUCUGGCUUUAACCUGGAGAGUGACACGGCUCAGAUGAUUGUGUGGUGGCUGCAGUCGAUGGCCCUCACCCAAGCUUCACCCCUUGGUCCAUCAGAGCCUCUGGCUGGUCCCUACCCACUGCUUGGCCUUUGUUAAUUUGUCCAGGGUGUGUUUUAAGGGAUGGAGUAAGUGAGGGGGUAGUUGGGUAGAAACCUUGGAAGUUCUUUUAGAGAUACUUCGGAUACUACAGUGCUUGUUGGAUUCAUGAUUUGCUCUAAAAUGAGACCCGCUGAUAAACCAGAAAGGUGAAGAAGCACCAUGCAAUGAAUUUACGUUCUACGGCUUGGCUCCUGCCGUUUUAUUUUCCUUUUUUCUUCUCACUACACAGAGUCUGCCCAAAUAGCCUUGUGAGAUGGUUUUUAGAGGUUGUUUGUUUAUUAUUAUUUCUACUCAUUACAGUUUCAAAGUAGUUUUGUGUCUGUGAAGCUAAGUCCACAGCAAUUGCUUCUUUUUCUUUUCUUCUUUUUUUUUUUAUUAUUAUUAUUUUUGUGCGUGUGUGUGUAACCUUGGGACUAGAGCUGUAGUAUGGAUGAAGGUGGUGACUGCAGCAGAACCAGUACACAGGGACCCCCCUUGCAAACCUUGGUGGUCAUCCAGCACCUCUCACGUCGCUGGCCGGAGGCACUGAGGCUGGCUUCAGGGGGGUCACUCCCCAUCCCGGUGCUGUCCUUCACCUGCUGAGGACUGACCUAUGGGUCUGAGCUGUGGUGGCCAGAGCUAAAACUGCCCAGGAGAGCAGCGCUGAGCUGCAGCAGGUUGUCCCCGGCUCCUGUGUCCUGCAUCGUGGGUGCAGCAUCACGCACAAGAACUCCACAGCACAAGGAAAGAGGUCAUUAAAUACAACUUUAUUGGGUUUCAUCAUACAGUUUGUUUUUCAUAUCUUCUUCCUUUCUCCUCUCCGACUUCCCCUUGGUGUCUUCAUCCUACGUUUCAUCGUGAACACAGGACAACUUUAAAAUUUGUUGGUUGCUUUACCCAGAGGAAUUCCAGCCUCAGUUUCCCUUUUUUGGUUGAAUUUUUCCUUUUUAGAUUUGACACAGUAAACAACCUGUGGGUUGUUUCUGGUUGGAGCAGAGUAGGUUUCAGAUAAUUUCCUUGCACCCUCACCAUCCCACCUUGGUCUGUUCUGAAGGCAGCUGCUGCCUCUGCUAUAAAGUUGUUUCUCAAAUGUUUUAAAGUAUCUCAAGGUAAAUGCAAAAAAAAGUCACAUAACAACCAAAAUCCUCUAAAAACUUUGUGGGCACCAAAAAUAUACCAUUUUGUGACCAAUUCACUGCACCCUUUUUUUCACGAUGACCUUUCAGUACUAGGACUAAGUUGAUAAAGAGGAAACAAAACCAUUACAGUAGAACAGUUACUUUAUCUGAAUGUGUAAGAAAUCAAAAAAUUACGACUAUAUAGCUUCCAUCGCUAGCAUCGCAUUUCAGCUGGCCAAACUGGACUAGCAAUGUCACCAGCUGAAAUGGGGGUACCAGGCCAGGAGGUCUCAAACCCUCCAUUGGUUAAAUCUGACCUUAGAAAUAAUAUUUUCUUAUACAUAACAAUGAAAUUCAGCAUUCUGGAUGAGAUAAAAGAGAUAGCUUGGGUUUAAUUAUUUAAUGCACACAGUUUAAAGUUCCAGUACAGCUCAUUUUAUUUAAAACUGUAGUAUUUUAUGAAGUAUCUGACUAAAGAUAAUGAUCGCUUUUUAAAUGAUACACACCAACUUUCAAAAAGUUUUUAUUACUUGUGGGACUUUAGGAACAUUCCUCCUUUGUAUGCUUUUGUAGAGACUGUUUGCAUACUCUGACUCCAGACUGGGUGCUUUCUCUUCCUUUUCCUGUAAAACUUACGGCAGUACAUUGUAUAAUGACAAGUGACCAAAAAAAAUCAAUUUGUAAUCUGAUUUGAGGGUUUUGAUUUCCUCUGAUGAGUUUAAAUUUCAUUAAAAGCAACCUUAUUCGAACAUAAAAGAACUCCUUGAAGGGUAAAACAGGGAAUUGUCUCAAAGAGUAUAAAGAAUCUAAACUCUUUUGUGCUAUUUAUUCACGGCAUUAAUUGUGAGGUCCAACGGGCGGUGUCGGUUGGCAGAUGCACUGUUAUCAGCCCUGCGAUCUGAACGAGGAGGGGAAAAAAAGCACAAGGGCUCACAUUCAAAAAUCAUUCUUUGGCGUAUUGACACUUUAGUUAUCAACAGCCCUUAUUAUCUGCUUAGCGGCGGAGUGCAGCUUGCUGGUGACAUAAUAAGCUACAAAUCACUGAUGGGGCCUUUCUGCAUUCUCCUAAUUGUGUGUAUUCUCUAGAAAAAAAUUAUCGUUGGGCUUCUUGUCUUGAUGAGAAAUUGACAUUUUCUGGUGGAGCCUGGUGAGCACUAUGUGGGGAGAUAAGACAUAGUUGUUUUAAAGGAGUGCAGCCAUUCUUUCAGAGGCCUCUUUAUUGCUCUAGUUGACCCACUUGAUGAGUAUGGAUUUCAUGAGGUCUUUUUCAGCAUUUGAACUAUAAAAGGUUCAGAAUGACACCACCCCUUAUAGACAAAAGAUAACCUUGCCCUUUGAAUAUAUUGAUUCUUUAUUAACUAGGCUGUUUAAUGCAAUGAAAUGAGGCAUUAGAUUGAAGCCUAUUUCAAGUGCUUUGAAUAAUCUUUAAAAGCUUGAAAGACUUUUAAAAGCUGCUCUGCAAUAAUUGGCAUAUACUUUUAGAGACUCUAUUCCUUCAUUUUGAUUAAGGAAUUUUUAUCAUCUUCCUAUGUCUAAACUCACUAUAGGCUGACACAACAUAUUUUCUCACCAGGGCUAUUACCAAGUUACAGAUAGGGACGUGUUGUAGGUGGUGGAUUGCUCUAGGACUUGUCAUUUCUAGCAAAAAAUGUAUGGGUUUUCUUCUUUUGUAUUUUCUUUGCGUUGAAAGUUAGACAAACCAUUUAGAUGCUCAUUAUUCAAACCUUUGAAAUAAACCUAAAAGGAAAAGUGCCAGUAGGCAUCAUGGAGACUUCCAUCCCUAUAAACCAUCUUAUUUUUUAGUGGGAUGCAUCUGAUUAUGCCACCGUUUAAACAUCAUACACGGAUACAUACUCAAAGUGGAACAAUUUUCAAUGCAUAAUAAUAAUAAUAAUAAUCCAAAGUGCUCUGUAUUUUUAACAUCUGUUUUCAUCAAACAUGAAAACUAUGGAAAUAUCAGAGAAUAAAGGAAAUUUAGUUAAAUAUCCCAGUUUUCCUUCUUUGUACAUUGUGACUACAGUAAGCUGCACCUUCUCGUCACACUCCAUCACUUAACAGCUGGAACACGGGGUGAUGAAGGAGAGACUCAGGCACACGGCAUGUCGUUUGGCAGUAUAUACGCAUACACAAGUACAUACAUUGGAGCUCAGAGUUUCUCAGUGCCCUCUCAAAGUUGUCAGCAGCCCUCUGAUUAAUGACAGGAUAAAACUCACAUAACAAACUCCCCCGCUUUACCUGCGUAGGCACUUGAGUUGCUCUGCCUGCUG